rnacentral:lncRNA from 1 species
CAAACUCAAAAACCAUGGGUCAACGACCCAGGCCUCCUAACAGUACCCCCCCCCUUAAGGGCUGGCUCCCAGACAGCCCAAACCAGAAUCACCAAAAACGAAAAACAACCCAACCAGGGCGGGCGGUGGGGAAACAGGACGGAGGGCUCGAAACAAACCAAACAAGGAGCCAGAAACAAAAAAAAGCGCAAACAACGGAGCCCAGAAAGCAACAUAACAAAACUCACAGGCGGCCAGGAAAAACAAUUCACACAAAGUUCAGGAGGCCGGCCGGGCGGGAGGCACCGGCGGCGACGGAGCAGGUCAGGAGGCCGGCCGGGCGGGAGGCACCGGCGGCGACGGAGCAGGUCAGGAGGCCGUCCACGACGGCGAGGAUGCCCAAUCAUCGGCCCGGAAGGAGGCCGUCCACGACGGCGAGGACGCCCAAUCAUCGGCUUGGAAAGCGGCCAGAAAGGACGAGCAGGCCGGACAGGACGUGCAGGACGAGCAGGCCGGACAGGACGAGCAGGACGAGGACGUGUAAUCAGAGGCCUGGAAGGAGGCUGGCGCUGUAGAGGCGCAGGAUGUGGUCUGGACGUCGGCGUGGCCGAGGCAGGACCAAGCGAAGCUGUAGCCGAGGCCAGACCGGGCGAAGGCGAAGACUCGGAGGCCAGACCGGGCGAAGGCGAAGACUCGGAGGCCGGACCGGGCGAAGGCGAAGACUCGGAGGCCGGACCGGGCGAAGGCGAAGACUCGGAGGCCGGACCGGGCGAAGGCGAAGACUCGGAGGCCGGACCGGGCGAGGGUGACGCUGCAGGCAACGCUGAAGCUGGACCAGACGACGGCGGAGCUGAAGCCGUAGCUGGACCAGGCGAGGACGAAGCCGUAGCCGGACCAGGCGAGGACGAAGCCGUAGCCGUAGCUGGACCAGGCGAGGACGAAGCCGUAGCCGUAGCUGGACCAGGUGACGGCGUGGGAGCCGCAGGUGGUGGCGAUGAAGGCUGGACGGGCCCCUCGGACCCUCCAGCGGGAACAGAAGGCUGGACGGGCCCCUCGGACCUCCAGCGGGAACAGAAGGCUGGACGGGCCCCCGGACCCUCCAGCGGGGGCAGAAGGCUGGACGGGCCGCUCGGACCCUCCAGCGGAGGCAAACAAAGGCUGGCGCGGUUCUCCAGAACCCCCAGCGGGAACAGAAGGCUGGACGGACCCCUCAGACCCUCCAGCGGAGACGAACAAAGGCUGGAGCGGUCCCUCGGACCCUCCAGCGGGAAUAAACGGCUGAGUAAACGACUGAGGUGA